UACGUAGGGUGCAAGCGUUAAUCGGAAUUACUGGGCGUAAAGCGUGCGCAGGCGGUGAUGUAAGACCGAUGUGAAAUCCCCGGGCUUAACCUGGGAACUGCAUUGGUGACUGCAUUGCUGGAGUAUGGCAGAGGGGGGUGGAAUUCCACGUGUAGCAGUGAAAUGCGUAGAGAUGUGGAGGAACACCGAUGGCGAAGGCAGCCCCCUGGGCCAAUACUGACGCUGAGAAGCGAAAGCAUGGGGAGCGAACAGG
rnacentral:rRNA from 1 species